UACGGGGGGAGCAAGCGUUGUUCGGAUUUACUGGGCGUAAAGGGUGCGUAGGUGGUUGGGUAAGUCUGAUGUGAAAUCUCCGGGCUCAACCCGGAAAUGGCAUUGGAUACUAUUUGACUAGAGGGUUGGAGGGGGGACUGGAAUACUUGGUGUAGCAGUGAAAUGCGUAGAUAUCAAGUGGAACACCAGUGGCGAAGGCGAGUCCCUGGACAACUCCUGACGCUGAGGCACGAAGGUCAGGGGAGCAAACGGG
rnacentral:rRNA from 1 species